rnacentral:rRNA from 1 species
CCUACGGGGGGCAGCAGUAGGGAAUCUUCCACAAUGGGCGAAAGCCUGAUGGAGCAACGCCGCGUGGGUGAAGAAGGUCUUCGGAUCGUAAAACUCUGUUGUUAGAGAAGAAAGUGCACGAGAGUAACUGUUCACGUUUCGACGGUAUCUAACCAGAAAGCCACGGCUAACUACGUGCCAGCAGCCGCGGUAAUACGUAGGUGGCAAGCGUUAUCCGGAUUUAUUGGGCGUAAAGGGAACGCAGGCGGUCUUUUAAGUCUGAUGUGAAAGCCUUCGGCUUAACCGGAGUAGUGCAUUGGAAACUGGGAGACUUGAGUGCAGAAGAGGAGAGUGGAACUCCAGGUGUAGCGGUGAAAUGCGUAGAUAUAUGGAAGAACACCAGUGGCGAAGGCGGCUCUCUGGUCUGUAACUGACGCUGAGGUUCGAAAGCGUGGGUAGCAAACAGGAUUAGAUACCCGAGUAGUC